rfam:Trichinella pseudospiralis scaffold92s, whole genome shotgun sequence.
CCAACGGCCCUUUUCAGGGCCAAUAUAUACUUUUUUUAUUGAAAAU